CAACUCCAAACACGGAGUGCCUGAGGUGAGCCGAGCCGUCCGAAUCAUCUGGACCCCGACAGAAAACAAAAGGCCAGCGUCAUUUCAGAUCAAAUGUGGAAAACGACGCUUCAGAUUAAAGUGGAAGUGAGCAUACAGAGCAGCAAGUGAAAACUGCGCAGCCGCAGAGCAGACUAAACUUAAUUCAACAGCAGGAUCUCUGCAGCCCGUUGAUGAAGACGUCG